UACGUAGGGGGCAAGCGUUGUCCGGAUUUAUUGGGCGUAAAGAGCGUGUAGGCGGCCAGGUAGGUCAGCUGUGAAAGCUUCCGGCUUAACUGGAAAAUUGCAUCGGAAACUGCUCGGCUUGAAGGUGGGAGAGGGUAGCGGAAUUCCCGGUGUAGUGGUGAAAUGCGUAGAUAUCGGGAGGAACACCAGUGGCGAAGGCGGCUACCUGGCCCACUCUUGACGCUGAGGCGCGAAAGCUAGGGGAGCAAACGGG
rnacentral:rRNA from 1 species